CACCCCGGGGCCGCGCGGCGGGGCUCCUUACGUUUCGCCUUCCUCUCUGGCUGCCCGUGCGGAGCAGCGGGUCGAGGUCUCCAGUGUUCAACUUUGUGCUGAAAGCGAGCAACAGAAAUCACCAAGGAUCAUAUUCUGAGCCAAAGAAAAAAAAGAAUGACCCUCAGAGCAUUACUGGUUUUGAAGCCAAACCACAAGUUCUCCAUGGUGUUUCGGAAUCAGCCCUUUUUCUUCCUCUGCAAUACCUUCUGGUUGUGAUGAUUUAUUUCUGUUUGCAUUAUUUAUGUCAGGGGUAUUUUUCCCCCAUAAGAGAGUUUGCACAGCAAAUAUCCAGAGGUCCACAAUUGUGCUCACCAUAGAGCGUGCCCAAAUAACCUCUAGCAUGUAUGACAAGCCUUCAUCUCUUUCCACAGCUACUAGGCUUUGGAAGCUGAUCAUUGCCCCAGCCCAGCCUCCCUAACCUGGUGGUCUGUUUUGGAAGUGCAGCACCAAUCAGGGAUAACACACGCAGAGAGAGAAAGAAUUGUAGCGUUGGGAGGGACCAUAAGGGUCAUCUAGCCCAGCCCUCUGCAAUGCAGGAAUCUUUCGUCCAAUGUGGGGCUCAAACUCACAACCCUGAGAUUAAAAACCUCAUGCUCUGUCAACUGAGCUAUGUAGUAUCUCAUCAUCCAGGCUUAAGAUUCCAUCAAAGAACUCUGGCUGUGCAGCCAAUACAAAGAAGAUCAAGGACACAAUCCAGUUCCUCCUCUCCUAGUGCCCAAGGUAUGUAGACAAGCUAGAAGCUGUUGGACCAACUCCAAUCAAUCACAGCAUCCUUGGCAGUUGUACUGUGUUCCUGUGGUCCAUGAGGCCACUGGUAGCCCAGCUCCCGUGUCUGCCAGCUCUCAGCUGCCCUUGCUGGCAGCCAAAGGGGGGAGCUGCAAAUUUGCAAGUGUGCGUCAAGUCACAUCCACACAGAUACAUUUAAGUGAGCAGUCGUGUCUUACUCCCAAAGAAUCCUGAGAACUUUGUGAAGGGUGCUGGGAAUUGUAGCUCUGUGAGGGGUCCUCACAACAUUCGGCACCCUUCAUAAACUAUAGUUUCCAGGACUGUGAGGGUGGGGAAGCCAUGACUGUUAAAUUGGUACAAGAGUGCUUUAAAUGUUUAGUGCAGAUAAAACCAAAAUCUAAGUGAUGCUAGGAAAAAGUUGAGAGCUUGGCAAAAUGAGCGCAAAACCCUGAAAAAUCAUAAUCUAAUGUCUAUCCAUUGUAUAAUAUUUGAAUUUAAAGAAAUUGGCCAUUAUCAAUAACUGCAUCUCUUUGCUUCUAAACUGAGUGUACCAUUAACACAUUUAAGUACUGUAUUUCAAAGUGUAAAAAUGUAUGACUUACCACUUUCUUCUUGA